rnacentral:lncRNA from 1 species
UGAAACUUGUUUAUCUUGGCAAGGUGAAUUUUCCCGAAUAUAUUAGCCCAUGAUCCCGAGGUAAUUUCAUAUUUUCGUCUUACGAUUGCUUCCAAGUAGUAGUUAUUUUGUGUACUCGUCUAGAAAUAGUUCACAUUGCAAACUGUUNUUUCAUAUUUUCGUCUUACGAUUGCUUCCAAGUAGUAGUUAUUUUGUGUACUCGUCUAGAAAUAGUUCACAUUGCAAACUGUUCUACUUCCCAGAGUUGCAGGAACUGGCAAUCUGCAUUGUACUUGCUCAUCCUUCAUUAUGAAGGCGAUUAAGUUGAGUAAUAGUUUGGCUUAGCGUAAGCUGGAGCUAUAUAGCCAAUUAUAGGGAU